AGAAUGAUAUUGAGCCAAAGAUGGCUUGCCGAUUUUACUGAUUGAGUCUAGAAAAACUGAUAUUGAUUGCCGGCAAGUUGAUUUUGGCUCUGUUUCAUUCUUU
rfam:Brassica oleracea var. oleracea cultivar TO1000 chromosome C3, whole genome shotgun sequence